rnacentral:rRNA from 2 species
UGCAAGUCGAGCGAUGGAUUGAGAGCUUGCUCUCAAGAAGUUAGCGGCGGACGGGUGAGUAACACGUGGGUAACCUGCCCAUAAGACUGGGAUAACUCCGGGAAACCGGGGCUAAUACCGGAUAACAUUUUGAACUGCAUGGUUCGAAAUUGAAAGGCGGCUUCGGCUGUCACUUAUGGAUGGACCCGCGUCGCAUUAGCUAGUUGGUGAGGUAACGGCUCACCAAGGCAACGAUGCGUAGCCGACCUGAGAGGGUGAUCGGCCACACUGGGACUGAGACACGGCCCAGACUCCUACGGGAGGCAGCAGUAGGGAAUCUUCCGCAAUGGACGAAAGUCUGACGGAGCAACGCCGCGUGAGUGAUGAAGGCUUUCGGGUCGUAAAACUCUGUUGUUAGGGAAGAACAAGUGCUAGUUGAAUAAGCUGGCACCUUGACGGUACCUAACCAGAAAGCCACGGCUAACUACGUGCCAGCAGCCGCGGUAAUACGUAGGUGGCAAGCGUUAUCCGGAAUUAUUGGGCGUAAAGCGCGCGCAGGUGGUUUCUUAAGUCUGAUGUGAAAGCCCACGGCUCAACCGUGGAGGGUCAUUGGAAACUGGGAGACUUGAGUGCAGAAGAGGAAAGUGGAAUUCCAUGUGUAGCGGUGAAAUGCGUAGAGAUAUGGAGGAACACCAGUGGCGAAGGCGACUUUCUGGUCUGUAACUGACACUGAGGCGCGAAAGCGUGGGGAG